rnacentral:misc_RNA from 1 species
CAGAAAUCGUCCUGCACCGGGGUGCUAAGCUUAGACAGGUGAAAUUCUUCUAGCACCGUGCAAAAGCUGGGGCAGAGGGCAAGAACAAUUGUUAUUUCGUCAUAUAGACCCAUCGACGUCGUAAGCGGAGAACGUGCCUGCACUGCUGUAUUUUAUUAUUAACAAAUCCGGUCAAGAUGGGAAUAGCUGCAGAUGACAGUCUAUACAACGUGAGAAAGACGAAGGCGCUGCCAAAACAUUCGUUAUUUGGGACGUCAUUCGAGAUGUUCACGGAAGAAGAAAAACAACGCAUUAACAGCAUAGACCUCAACACCAAUGCAUGUGUGAAUCAGAAAAUACCAAUUGCCGAUCACCUCCUGCAAAAUAUCAAAGGUCGUGAAGAGGCUGCUGAAAAACGCCGCGAGUUUGAGAAACGGAAAAAGAUCACGGAACAGACAAGACAGAACAUGAAGACUUUCGAACAGGACGCCAUUCUAGUCUGCACUGGCUCACAGUCAAAAGACAUGAGUCACGUUAUCAAGGCUGCUACGAGGAGAGAGGAGCCCGCGAGAUGUGGUACGUGGUUCACUGGGAAAGACAUCGAACAUUCCCGAGAAAUUAAUUUCAGUACAAUGCCGGACAACUACAGAAGCUACAACCGCGAUAAGUUUUCCAGACUCCCACCAAUUUACAAAAAUCCCGCCGUCGAUGUCUUUUCGCGGCCGAGGAGACAAUCGGUCGUUUCCGCGGAACCUCGGGGUCCGUACCAGCAAGGAAGGCCGGAUCUCUCCGGGGACGUCCGGAGAAUGGCGUCACCGUGUGUCCACGAGCCAGCAGCAGACGAGCCAGCAGCAGACGAUCCGUCCGUGAGCAACUACAUAUGUGUUCCCCAGAAUAUACGUCACAGGUUUGGCAGCAAGGUGUGCGAUUCCCUGCUGUCUGACGAAAAGAAAGUUCAAGACACGCUGGCAAGGCUGCACACAGCGCCGUGCUACCUUCCACAAAAAGGUAGCCCCAGGGUUCACUCGGCCAGUCAGCAGUCACAGAGGAGUAGUCAACGAACACCGACACACAGUCAGCACAUUGAGAGGACCAGUCCACACGCUCAGAGGACCAUUCGGCAAACGAAGAGCGACGUCCAGCUGCAAACAAAGAGCGACCAUCAGCAAGCUCAGAGGACAAGCCAGACGGCCCGGAGAGAUGACGAGCGGACGCCGAGAUUCAGUCAGCAAACGAAGAGGGAAAAUCAGCAGCAGACGCCAGUCCGAAUCAGUGACUACGACGCGUUAAGCAUCAUAACGCGUCAGAACGUCAUUCCGGGACUCUCGAUAAGAAACCCGCAGAGUACCAGCAAAUCGACGUACAACGAAGCAGUGCUCCUCCGCCGGGUUCCCGAAACGGACGAGUUCAAAUACAAGAAACAUAGUCUUAGCCGCUGGGUGGAAGACAACGUUCGCCGAGAGAGGACGAGGAAGGACUGGGAUGAGAAAUUCUCAACCAACACGAAAUAAGACCAAUGACGUCACCACACCUACGCAAUGGUGUAUUUUACAUUUGUUGUUUAUGUACAAUUAGGCAUGUGGACAGAACAGCAAAUCUUUCGUGUUCGCUUGGACAAACAGUGGGCAAGUUAUUUUGAAAGUCUUCCUAAGGUUCAUGUCACGUGGGACAGAGAUG